AUUGAACGCUGGCGGCAGGCCUAACACAUGCAAGUCGAGCGAGCGGCGGACGGGUGAGUAAUGUAUGGGAAUCUGCCUGAUGGAGGGGGAUAACUACUGGAAACGGUAGCUAAUACCGCAUACCAUCAGAUGAACCCAUAUGGGAUUAGCUUGUAGGUGGGGUAAUGGCUCACCUAGGCGACGAUCCCUAGCUGGUCUGAGAGGAUGAUCAGCCACACUGGGACUGAGACACGGUCCAGACUCCUACGGGAGGCAGCAGUGGGGAAUAUUGCACAAUGGGCGCAAGCCUGAUGCAGCCAUGCCGCGUGUGUGAAGAAGGCCUGCGGGUUGUAAAGUACUUUCAGUCGGGAGGCGUUACCGACAGAAGAAGCACCGGCUAACUCCGUGCCAGCCGCCGCGGUAAUAC
rnacentral:rRNA from 1 species